GAAAAAGCGGUGAGCGAGCGGGGCCGCCACCGCCGCCUCUAUCCCAGCAGCGCGGAAGAGACCCGGGUAGCUGCUUGGUGGAGCGACGCUAGCACCGCUUCUUCCUCAGUUCCGCGCCUAGCCAGCCUUCCGCAGCUGCCCGCCUCAGCCCGAAGGAGGAAGGGAGCCAGCCACAUUGUCAGCGCCACCGCUCGACUCUGAAGCGAAAUCUCAGCUAUCAAGGAGACUUUUAAAAGGCUCUCUAAAUAUUUGGUACGAGAAUUUCUUCUCUUUAUAUCUUUUGUGAUCCCUC
rnacentral:lncRNA from 1 species